rnacentral:rRNA from 1 species
AUUGAACGCUGGCGGCAGGCCUAACACAUGCAAGUCGGACGGUAGCACAGAGAGCUUGCUCUCGGGUGACGAGUGGCGGACGGGUGAGUAAUGUCUGGGGAUCUGCCCGAUAGAGGGGGAUAACCACUGGAAACGGUGGCUAAUACCGCAUAACGUCGCAAGACCAAAGAGGGGGACCUUCGGGCCUCUCACUAUCGGAUGAACCCAGAUGGGAUUAGCUAGUAGGCGGGGUAAUGGCCCACCUAGGCGGCGAUCCCUAGCUGGUCUGAGAGGAUGACCAGCCACACUGGAACUGAGACACGGUCCAGACUCCUACGGGAGGCAGCAGUGGGGAAUAUUGCACAAUGGGCGCAAGCCUGAUGCAGCCAUGCCGCGUGUAUGAAGAAGGCCUUCGGGUUGUAAAGUACUUUCAGCGGGGAGGAAGGCGGUGCGGUUAAUAACCGCGCCGAUUGACGUUACCCGCAGAAGAAGCACCGGCUAACUCCGUGCCAGCAGCCGCAGUAA